UACGUAGGGGGCAAGCGUUGUCCGGAUUUACUGGGCGUAAAGGAUGCGUAGGCGGACAUUUUAAGUCAGAUGUGAAAUACCCGAGCUUAACUUGGGUGCUGCAUUUGAAACUGGGUGUCUAGAGUGCAGGAGAGGUAAGUGGAAUUCCUAGUGUAGCGGUGAAAUGCGUAGAGAUUAGGAAGAACACCAGUGGCGAAGGCGACUUACUGGACUGUAACUGACGCUGAGGCAUGAAAGCGUGGGGAGCAAACAGG
rnacentral:rRNA from 1 species